AGCAUCUUUGUCCAGUUGUCUAUAGUUUUGUGUAUACAAAGUGAAUUGUUUACAGUGAUGCUUGGUGGUUUUUGGAACGAAGAAAUUUUUAGUGACGUACGAAUGAUGAUUGCCGUUAUUCUUCAUUUAUACAGUGGCAGUGGAAAUUGUUUUCAGUUCUUCAGAAAGCGUUGGCGUCUCUGCGAAUGUUAAGCCUGUGGGCGUGCAGCCAUAACCUGGCUGAGAAUUCUUAUUGUGUCAGGGAUUACGAACUACUUAAUGGUUACGAAAGUAAACGAAUCUGUCCAUACGGAUGCAUAAGUACAAAACUGACCUCCGGCAUCAGUAGAUUCAGUUGACUUCAAGUUGGACAUUAAUCCCUAACCUUGUAAACUGCAAGCAUGAAGUGGUGAAUGAUUUUAUGUAGAGAUUAAAACUGUGCGCCGGACCGAGACUCGAACUCGAGACCUUUGCCUAUCGUGGGCAAGUACUCUACCAUCUACAGCAAAGAAGGGGCCAGAGAAAUGUUUUGCAAGCAGCAGCACUCUUCAAGGCUGAAUGAUUUAACUGUACAAUCUGAUGUGUAUGUAGAUUCCCCAGUGUUCACAGGUCCCAGCGCAUGGCAUCCGUCUCUACAGAGCUGCCACUACAUUGCUGGAUCUCUGCAACCUCAGUUUCAGAUAUCUUCAAAGUGUGCAGAACCUUUUGUUUGCACUAAUUGUGGCAAACAUUACCGCUUUAAGGGGAACUUGCAACGACAUGUGAAACAUGAGUGUGGCAAGUUGCCACAGUUUCAGUGUCCCUACUGCCCGAGGCAGAGCACUCAAAAGAGCAAUCUGAUUCGCCAUAUUAAAAAGUUUCAUCCUAUGGAACCGAUUGUAUAAAAUAGUGUACAUGUACUUCAGUAGUUGUUUUAUGAUUUGUUUCAAGUGUGAAACAAUACUGUUAACUAUUGUAGUACUGCUUGCAUAUGGUACUGUUGAACAGAACAUAGAUUGACUGAAUCUGGAAUGUUACUGCCAUAGUUGCUUUUGUAAUUAGAUGAAAUGAUAUUUGUUGUUAUUAAAGGCAGUGAUAAACUGCUCAGAUCA